AAUCUGCAUAAUUUAGCUUAGAGAGGUGUGGGAUACUGGAAAAAUGCUCGUAACAGAACGAAUGUAAACUAACACGUGCAAUGGUCAGACGGUACAGAACAGAGCGGAAGUCACUAUUCUGUGUUUCAGGAUAAGCGCGGUGCGGAUGUAGAAGGAGAAAUGGAUGUCAAUGUCCCCACAAACGCCGGCUCUGGGAGAGCGGCCCGGCCGGAGCAGGGCAGGGCCGGGCAGGUCUGCAGGCGGUCGCGAACAGUUCGAGCUCCCGAACUUCAGGGGACGGGCAGCAGGCGGGUCGGGAAGGCUGGACCUUCCCGUACCUCGGCAAUGGGAAAGGAAGAGGGCAACGCGCAGUCGGAGUUUAGGAUAAAAGGAGGCUGCGUCCUCCAAAAUCUUGAGGGACCCCGCGGGGUACGGCCCAGGGAACUCUCUCCUUUUAUUCAAAUCAAAUAAAUAAAGUUGCAGGACUCCUCUGUCUCCUUUGUGGACACUGGCUUUUCACAGCGUGAUUUUCUGCAUAAACCAAAUCACAAAUCUCAAAGCAGUUUGCAGAAAAGAAAUUUUUUUCACAUUUCUUUCAGCCUGGAAAAGAGAAGGCUUCUGGAUGACCUUCCUGCUGCCUUCCGAUACUUGAAGGGAACUUUCCUCAAGCUGGGGAAGACUAUUUACAAGAGUGUGUAGUGACAGGACAAAGGUGAAGGCUUUACAUUGACAGAAAGCAGGUUUAGAUUAGUUUUAGAUUAAAAAUUCUUUACUGUGAGGGUGGUAAGGCACAGGAACAGGUUGUCCAGAGAAGCUGUGAAUUCCCCAUCCCUGAAGUGUUCAAGGACUGCUUGGAUAGAGGGAGCUCUGAGCAACCUGGCCCCAGGAAGGAAAAGAAAAAAAGUCUUUUCUGAGGAAAAAGAAAAAAGUCUGGGCGAAUGGUUUUGAAGGAAGCUGCUUAGGAGUUUGUGGUGGAAACUGCUCCCUACAUUUCCUGAGUGAAGAGAAGGGUACUGACAUCUGACUCAGGUAAAAGGAGCAGGGGUUUUGCUGCAGUGACCAACAGCCGUCCUUGUAUAACACCCUGCGUAAAGAAAACUGAAUUACAUCUGAGAUCUUUGUACAUAACAUUUACAGCCCUCAGUGAGGCUUCUGACAAUGUCCUGUUUACAUGUCAUCAAGCAUGCUUGGUUUUCUUUCAGACAGUAAGUGCUUACUGCCACUGCAAACCUGGCAGAGUGUAUCUAACCCUGCAUCUCCACCCUGCACUGUGAAAUGUGUCCUGUACACUUUUAUUCAUCAAAUGUGGGACACGAUCCAGGCUCGCUUCCUCUAAAAGGACAGAUCCACAAUGCCAGGCAGUGCCACUGCUACUUUGAGCAGUUACAGUUUUGUAGUUUUCUGCAUUUCCUACCACUUUUGUUACAUUUACUGCCCAGUAAACAAUAAAAUCUAAGAAACAAAGUUUUCUUAGACUGCUGUCAUGAGAUCCUUGGAAACACUUGUGCCUUUUAGAAAGAGAACAUUUCCAGGAAACUGCCCAGCCUUGUGCCAGCAACAACUGCGUGCAUCAGUCAUCUUGUUCCAGUGAAGAAGUAGACUGCCAGCAGUGCUAGAGCAGCCUUUCCACACCUCUGCUUCGAUCUAAGGGGAGAACUUUUGCAAUCAGCUCAAUUUCUGUGACCCAGUCAGUCCUUGGCAUUUCUUUUACAGCAACCAACAAGAUGAGCAGUUUGGAGGAGCACACCAGCCCCACCUCCACUAGCCUGUUUCCUGAUGUCUGUUAAGUACCCAAGAGUCACCAUAGCUUAACAUCUUCUCCAGCCUGUUUGGGAAAGAAAGAAUGUUCAAUCCCUCUAGAUAUGUGCAAACACUAGUGUGUGCCCAGCAAAAUGCCAGACUCCUCCCAGAACACAGCUGCCAGCUUUCAGAGAAAUCACUGGGGUUUGUGAGAUGUGCAAAACGGCAAAAUGGUGUUGAGCAAGAAUUUAUACCUGCAAAAAAAAAUAAAUGUUUGCUUUGCUGCUCAUGAAUUCACAGUGAAAAGGAGUUCAUGUGGAAAUUUAAUUUGUGCAAAAUACUGUUAAAAAAAUCAAUCAUAAGUGUUUUGAGUUACACAGUGGAAUAGAAUUGUUGCUUUGUAAAACAGUGCAAGGUUUACAGAUUUUCCCUCACUAUAAAAGACAAUUCCCUAAUUUUCCCACGGUUGUCACAUUAGUUGUUGUUCCAAGUCAAGUGAAUGGGGCGCCUCUAAGCAUCACGACAGCAAAAAUGUACCAAUUAAACCUGAAUCUCUAGCAAGACUGAGAGAAGUUCAGAAAUUUGCCCAAAAUGAAGAGAGUAUAUUUCUUCUCAUCUCACGUCUGCUUAAAUCUUUACAGGAUUAAAGAACAGGAAGGGGCAUGUUUGCUCCAGAUAACUUCCCAGAUGAACUGUUAAAAGCCUUUUCUGUGUGACAACAUUAGCUAAAAUGAGUAAUUAAAAGUUCCUGACGAACACGACAGGCUUCCGAGUCCACUGAUUCCAUUUGCUCGUAUUCUUCUUCCGAUUGUUCCAUGUGUGCUGUG